rnacentral:rRNA from 1 species
AUUGAACGCUGGCGGCAGGCCUAACACAUGCCAGUCGAACGAGAGGCGGACGGGUGAGUAAUGUCUGGGAAACUGCCUGAUGGAGGGGGAUAACUACUGGAAACGGUAGCUAAUACCGCAUACCAUCAGAUGUGCCCAGAUGGGAUUAGCUAGUAGGUGGGGUAAUGGCUCACCUAGGCGACGAUCCCUAGCUGGUCUGAGAGGAUGACCAGCCACACUGGAACUGAGACACGGUCCAGACUCCUACGGGAGGCAGCAGUUGGGAAUAUUCCACAAUGGGCGCAAGCCUGAUCCAGCCAUGCCGCGUGUGUGAAGAAGGCCUUCGGGUUGUAAAGCACUUUCAGCGGGGAGGCGUUACCCGCAGAAGAAGCACCGACUAACUCCGUGCCAGCCGCCGCGGUAAUAC